GACGAACGCUGGCGGCGUGCUUAACACAUGCAAGUCGAACGGAAAGGCCCUGCUUUUGUGGGGUGCUCGAGUGGCGAACGGGUGAGUAACACGUGAGUAACCUGCCCUUGACUUUGGGAUAACUUCAGGAAACUGGGGCUAAUACCGGAUAGGAGCUCCUGCUGCAUGGUGGGGGAUGGAAAGUUUCGGCGGUUGGGGCUGGACUCGCGGCUUAUCAGCUUGUUGGUGGGGUAGUGGCUUACCAAGGCUUUGACGGGUAGCCGGCCUGAGAGGGUGACCAGCCACAUUAGGACUGAGAUACGGCCCAGACUCCAACGGUAGGCAACAGUGGGGAAUAUUGCACAAUGGGCGGAAGCCUGAUGCAGCAACGCCGCGUGCGGGAUGACGGCCUUCGGGUUGUAAACCGCUUUCGCCUGUGACGAAGCGUGAGUGACGGUAAUGGGUAAAGAAGCACCGGCUAACUACGUG
rnacentral:rRNA from 1 species